rnacentral:rRNA from 1 species
GACAAACGCUGGCGGCGUGCUUAACACAUGCAAGUCGAACGAUGAAGCCGGAGCUUGCUCUGGUGAAUUAGUGGCGAACGGGUGAGUAACACGUGAGUAACCUGCCCUUGGCUCUGGGAUAACUGCGGGAAACUGUAGCUAAUACCGGAUACGACCCUCGGAGGCAUCUCCUGGGGGUGGAAAGAAUUUCGGUCAAGGAUGGACUCGCGGCCUAUCAGCUAGUUGGUGAGGUAAAGGCUCACCAAGGCGACGACGGGUAGCCGGCCUGAGAGGGUGACCGGCCACACUGGGACUGGGACACGGCCCAGACUCCUACGGGAGGCAGCAGUGGGGAAUAUUGCACAAUGGGCGCAAGCCUGAUGCAGCAACGCCGCGUGAGGGAUGACGGCCUUCGGGUUGUAAACCUCUUUUAGCAGGGAAGAAGCGAAAGUGACGGUACCUGCAGAAAAAGCACCGGCUAACUACGUGCCAGCCGCCGCGGUAA